GAGAGACUCUGGAACACUGAUUUUGAUGAUAAAAUAUCGAGCCAUACAAAACCAGUAUGUAUAUUGAAGAUAAACGAGCUCUCGCCAUUAUGGAAUCUACAGUUAUUUCAUGAGGAUGGUCACUAUAAGCUCGGGCUACCUUGGAGAGAUAAGAAUGCAAGUAUACCAAACAAUCUUCCUCUUACGCAUUCAAGAUUACAAAAUCUACGUAAAAAGCUGAUACGCAAUCCAAAUCUACACGAACUGUAUUAAAGUACAGUAAAUGACCCUAUCGAGAAUGGAUAUGCCACAGAAGUCACCAACAGUGAGAUGAAUACAAAUUGCGUAUGUUAUCUAUCUCACCAUCCUGUGAUUAACGAGCACAAACCUGGCAAAGUACGUGACGUAUUUAACUGCGCAGCUACAUAUCAAGGCAGAUCUCUUAACAGCGAACUGUUACAGGGACUAGAUUUGAUGAACAGUUUGGUUGGUGUACUUCUACGAUUUAGGAAGGACAAAAUCGGCAUUGUAGCAGACAUAGAAGCAAUGUUCCGACAAGUAAUGGACUGGACUGAAUGCCUUAAGGUUUCUUUGGUGGCCUAAUGGUAACUUAAAUCAGGAUCCUAAAUGGUAGCAGAUGAAAGUACAUCUCUUUGGAGCCACAUCUUCCCCAACCUGUGCUGUAUUUGCUUUGAGAUGCAGAGCUACAGAUAACUCAGAUAAGUUUGAGAGAGAAGUAAAUCAACAGUUAGAAAAAAAUUCUAUGUUGAUGACUUAUUGAACAACAGAGUAUUCCACGCUUGGAACUAUCAGGAGCUGUAGUUGCUUGUCGCCUGUAUCGAAUGAUAGCAGAGGAACUAGAAAUUCAAUUUACACAGGCUUACUUCAGGACAGAUUCUACAAUUGUCUUGGGGUAUAUAAGUAACGAAUCACGUCGUUUCAAGACCUUUGUUGGAAAUCGUCUCAGUGAGAUUCAUUGGAGGACAACUCCUGAUUAGUGGCAUGAUGUCGGUUCUACAUCAAACCCGGCUGAUGUAGCUUCAAGAGGCAUCACUGCAUGCGAUACUGAAAAAUUGCAGUUUUGGUUGAAGGGACCUAAUUUCUUGUUUCAAGACCCAACCCAGUGGCCAGAAGAAGCGUCAAACAAAGUCCUAGAUAUUGCUGAAAAUGACGCCCAGGUCAAGAAAGAAAUCGCAGUAUAUACAACAACUGUUGGUUAUAUUGAAAGACUUAUUGAAUAUUACUCGGAUUGGACCAAACUUAGACGAGCAGUCGCAUGGAUGAUUAGGCUCAAGGCCUAUUGAAGACAACAGUAUUUGAAACAUCCCAUCUCAUGUGCCGAAGGAGAACUGUCUCUGAAAGAGAUGAGAGAAGCUACAGAAGUGAUUCUGAAGCAUGUGCAGUGUUGUUCCUUUACAGAAGAGCUUGAAAAUAUGAGGAAGGGGAGAUCUAUCAAAAUUUAUAGUCGUAUUGCAACCUUAAACCCUACACUAGAUGAUGGUAUUAUUCGAAAGGACGUCUUCAUUUCAAUGAAUUGAAUGCAUCUCCCAUCAUACUGCCGAGCAAACACCAUGUUACAAACCUUAUUAUUCGGUUCUACCACGAGAUUCAAGGACAUAUGGGAAAACAACAAGUGCUUUCUGAAACGCACAAAAAGUUUUGGAUAAUGAGAGGACUUAGUGAUGUUAAAAGAGUCCGUUGGCACUGUGUACCUUGUAAACGUCGACAAGGAGAGUUUUGUAAACAACAAAUGGCACCUCUACUGAAAGAACAGACAGCAACAGAUAAACCUCCAUUUACGUUUGUCGGCAUAGACUAUUUUGGUCCGCUUCUGGUGAAAUAACACCGUUCACAUGUAAAGAAAGUAGAGCAGUGCAUUUAGAGGUUGCUCACAGUCUAACAACAGAUUCAUUUAUUGCUGCCUUCCAACGUUUUACCAGUCGACGAGGAGUGCCAGGAAAGGUCUACAGUGAUAAUGGCACUAACCUUGUAAGUGGUGACCACGAGUUGCGCAUAGAAGACGUAUAUGCUAGGUUAUGGUAGAAACAGGUCCAAUUUAUAGCUAAUGUGUUGAAGGAUGGAGUAUUUGCCCCCAGCAAGUCAGACAAAGGUGGCAAAGGCCGAUGUCUAAUAUUCAAAUAGGUGACAUAGUUUUGAUAGCUCAAGAAAACGUUCCUAGAGGACAGUAGCCGCUAGGUCGAGUUAUGGAAGUAAAUGUGUGUAGAGAUUGCCUCACUCGAAGCUGCCUAAUGAAAACACAAAACGCAGAGCUAGUGUGACCAAUAACUAAGCUGUGUUUACUAGAAUGUUCAGGUUAACAUAAUUGUUUGAUAUUUACAACUGUAGUUGACUUUUUACUCUUUAUUUUUUUUAAUUGUUGAUCGUAGACUAAGUAUACUUUUAUGGAAUUGGUAACUCCAUGGUGGGGGUGUAAGAAUUGUUUAUUCUUAUUUAUAUGUUUAUACCUUUAAUAAUUGGCGAGUUACAUUUUUGGCACAACGUUGCACGUGUUGAAAUGACUAUGACGUCGGUAAGGUUAUUGUUUAUUUGUAUAAGGAGACGUAACUGCUGUUUACUAGUGUCUACAGAGAUCAAAUUUUGGUAUGAAAUUAUAAUUAUUUACUGAUGUAUAUUGUUUGUGUAGAUUAUUAAUCUAUAGUACGUAAGCAAGUUUAUUGAACACCAAUUACAGCUGUGAACCUUUAUUUUUUUUAUCUAAAUACUUAAAAAGCGGUAUUGUUUGUUAAUAUUUGUUGCGUACACAUAAAUUUGUAUGUGAGUGAUUUGUAAAAUUGUACUAGUAUUUGUAGUCUCUUUCAGAGAAUCGUCAUGAUACAUCAUAUGAAUAAAACCAAGUGAAACGAUGCACACUCUUGAAUUCGAUCACAUACAACAGAUUUAUCUUCUUUCAAACACAAAAUGCAGAUCACCCCUCCUGGUCCAAAAAACCCCUUAACCAUAGAGCUGACAGAUGCAGCCUAAACAGACUCCCAAUAUCAAAUCAGAUCAGAAGACAUGCUCUCCUUUAAAGUUGGCAUUAAGAAGAUUAAAUUUCGGUGAUGUUAAAACAAUAGAUACUCCAUUAAGAGCAUCACAGGGAAAAAGUCGAAAGAUCGUGUAUAUGUAAGCUCAAGAUUACUUCCAAUCAAAAAGACCAAAAAGCACACCAGGCAUUCAACGAAAAAACCCUAUCAAACAUCCAGACCUGAAGACAAAGAUCCAUCAGAUAUAUGUAUGGAUUUCUAAUGCUGUAAACCACCUUUUAUUCUCGACCACUUUAUUUUGCAACAUCCCGAGGAAUUUUAGUUUGUAACCAAGAUAAAGGGUAUGUGGAAAAGAAAUUACCAGAAUCAUUUGAGUAUUCAUUCGCGGCGAGAAAUAUUUGCGACGACAAGACUCGAUUUUUUCCGAACCUCGGUAAAAUAUAUCUCGCGCGCGAAUUUAAGUUGGUUGCUAUUGAUACAAACAUAAUUAAUUAUUGCUUUAUAUUUUACUGAUAGUCAAUACCAAAUCUUUCUACGAUUUUUCUCUGAUAAUUUCAUAUAUGCUAGUUGUAUAGAGAACUUAUACAAGAUUUUCAUUAUUCAGAUGAUACCCUCUUCACCAAAUGUAAUAGCUCAUAGCUCCAGUAAAAAAAAAAGAAGAGACAGGAUGACAGCAUUCAAAAGGCACGGACUGUCACCGUCGAGUACACGCGAGCAAGUUGUGUACAUGCAUUUAUCUGCACGGUACUGGGUUUUCGCGUGUUAUAUUGCCCCUGAUUAAUUUUCAACAGAUACUAAUAUAAGUACCCAAAACCAUACCGACAGUGCCUGUGGCUUCAGAAAUUGUACAGCCAACCAAAGACAACAAGAACACCGAUAAAGCCGUAUGCAAAUACUUCUUUCACUUGUCAACUAUUUUUCAAUGAUAUUCAGCCAUGUUUUAACUGUAUUUCUUUACCAUCAUUAGUGUGGGAGUACACUUUUUGCAUAGGUUUGCUCUUUUAAGGCCCCAGUACAAAUCAACGUCUAUACAAAGUAUAUACAUGUAUAAAAUGGGUACUGCAUAACAAUCUCAAAUACAGUAUGUACCAGUUAUUACCUAAUCACAAAUUGAGUUCUUUAUUCUAUUUCGUCUCUUUUUUAUCUAAGCGUUCUCAAAAAUGAAGGUAGAAGAAAUGUGAUAUCCCAAAAAAGAAGAAAAGUGUACGAAUUCGAAGAUGGAAUUAUUGAAGGACUAAUCGCAAAAUUUACUCCAAUGCUUCCAAUCUAACA